GUGGGGAAUAUUGGACAAUGGGGGGAACCCUGAUCCAGCCAUGCCGCGUGUGUGAAGAAGGCCUUUUGGUUGUAAAGCACUUUAAGCGAGGAGGAGGCUACCGAGAUUAAUACUCUUGGAUAGUGGACGUUACUCGCAGAAUAAGCACCGGCUAACUCUGUGCCAGCAGCCGCGGUAAUACAGAGGGUGCAAGCGUUAAUCGGAUUUACUGGGCGUCAAGCGCGCGUAGGUGGCCAAUUAAGUCAAAUGUGAAAUCCCCGAGCUUAACUUGGGAAUUGCAUUCGAUACUGGUUGGCUAGAGUAUGGGAGAGGAUGGUAGAAUUCCAGGUGUAGCGGUGAAAUGCGUAGAGAUCUGGAGGAAUACCGAUGGCGAAGGCAGCCAUCUGGCCUAAUACUGACACUGAGGUGCGAAAGCAUGGGGAGCAAACAGGAUUCGAUACCCUAGUAGUCC
rnacentral:rRNA from 1 species